rnacentral:tRNA from 1 species
GCCCUAAUAGCUUAAGUUUUAGAGCACAACAUUGAAGAUGUUGAGGUAUUUAUUUUAGAGCA